rnacentral:rRNA from 1 species
UCAAGAUGAGGUUUCCCACCGGGUCAACCGGGUAAGGCCCCCAGCAGAACACUGGGUUGAUAGGCCGGAGGUGUACAGCAGUGAUGCCUAGCCGACCGGUACUAAUAGGCCGAGGGCUUGUCCCACAA